CAAGCAAGCUGGACAGCCGCGCCCUUGGGACGAAAGGCCCAAGGGUGAGGAAAGUCCGGGCUCCACAGGGCAAGGAUAACGGGUAAUACCCGCCGGGGGCGACCCCAGGAAAAGGGCAACAGAGAUAUUCUACCGGCGAACAGCAGACCCACCGGAUCUGUAUGCGCCGGCAAAGGUGGAAAGGUGAGGUAAGAGCUCACCCGACGGCGUGGAAGCGUCCGUCGCUGUAAACUCUAUCCGGAGCAACACCGUGGGAACACACCAGGCCGGCCCGGCCGUGUUCAGGAGGUGGCUGGAGCGUGUUGGCAACAGCGCGUCGAGAUAGAUGGCUGUCUUAAAGGACAGAACCCGGCUUACAGGCUUACUUGCGCA
rnacentral:RNase_P_RNA from 1 species